AUGGAGAGACCAGUACCCGCCGUAGACCUCCUUAAGUACAUCCAGGGCAAAGGAGGCUCCAUAGAUGAGAAUGAGGCCAAGAUCAUAAUGAAGCAGUUGGUUGAUGCAGCUAAAGAACUUAAAGAUAAGUGCAUCUUUCAUCGGGACAUCAAGGUGGAAAAUAUCUUGAUUGAGACAGGCUCAGGGACGUCUCCGGCUCAUUGACUUUGGACUCAGCUGUUUCGUCAAGGAAAAGUCACGUUACCACAUUUUCUAUGGUACCCCUGAUCACAUUCCUCCAGAAUGGUUCCGUCAUAACACCUACCACGCUGGCCCCACAACAGUAUGGCAGGUCGGAGUGGUUCUGUAUGAAUCGGUCCACGGAGAAACACGUUUUGAGACCGAGAGCUUCACCAGGAACAAGCAGAAAAUCAGCAAUGAGCUGUCCAAAAAGUGCCAGGAUUUUCUCAAAGGAUGUCUAGCCAAAGUCCCCGAAGACCGCCCCACGCUGGAGCAACUCAAGCUGCACCCAUGGUUCAGGUAAACCAACACAAUUAUUGGGCGGCACAGUGGUGCAGUGGUUAGCACUGUCACCUCACAGCAAAAAGGUACCUGGUUGCAACCCUCAGCUAGGGCCUUUUAUGUGUGGAGUUUGCAUGUUCUCCCUGUGUUUGCGUGGGUUUUCUCCGGGUGCUCCGGUUUCCCCCACAGUCUAAAAAUAUGCAGGUUUAUAGGCUAAUUGAAGACUCUAAAUUGCCCCCCAACCCGUGUUUGCGUGGGUUUUCUCCGGGUGCUCCGGUUUCUCCCACAGUAAAAAAAAAAUACAGAUUUAUAGGCUAAUUGGUGACUCUAAUUUGGCUAAUUGGUGACUCUAAUUUGGCUAAUUGAUGACACCCCACCAACCAGUGUUUGCGUGGGUCCCCCCCCAGUCCAAAAAAAUAAAUAAAUGCAGGGUUAAUUGGUGACUCUCCCCCGGCUAAUAGAUAGAUUAGUGACAUUAUGUGCUAUUGUGAUAAAUAAAAGAUCAAUAAAAUUUAAGCCAAUACUUCA